rnacentral:rRNA from 1 species
CCUUAGAGUUUGAUCCUGGCUCAGGAUGAACGCUAGCGGCAGGCUUAACACAUGCAAGUCGAGGGGUAACGGGGAAGCUUGCUUCCGCCGACGACCGGCGCACGGGUGCGUAACGCGUAUACAAUCUACCUUAUACUGGGGUAUAGCCUUUAGAAAUGAAGAUUAACCCCCCAUAGUCUCUUAGAGUGGCAUCACUUCUAGAGUAAAGGUUACGGUAUAAGAUGAGUAUGCGUUCUAUUAGUUUGUUGGUGUGGUAACGGCACACCAAGACUACGAUAGAUAGGGGCCCUGAGAGGGGGAUCCCCCACACUGGUACUGAGACACGGACCAGACUCCUACGGGAGGCAGCAGUGAGGAAUAUUGGACAAUGGAGGCAACUCUGAUCCAGCCAUGCCGCGUGCAGGAAGACUGCCCUAUGGGUUGUAAACUGCUUUUAUACAGGAAGAAACACCUCUACGUGUAGAGGCUUGACGGUACUGUAAGAAUAAGGAUCGGCUAACUCCGUGCCAGCAGCCGCGGUAAUACGGAGGAUCCAAGCGUUAUCCGGAAUCAUUGGGUUUAAAGGGUCCGUAGGUGGAUAAUUAAGUCAGAGGUGAAAUCUUGCAGCUCAACUGUAAAAUUGCCUUUGAAACUGGUUAUCUUGAGUUAUUAUGAAGUAGUUAGAAUAUGUAGUGUAGCGGUGAAAUGCAUAGAUAUUACAUAGAAUACCAAUUGCGAAGGCAGAUUACUAAUAAUCAACUGACACUGAUGGACGAAAGCGUGGGUAGCGAACAGGAUUAGAUACCCUGGUAGUCCACGCCGUAAACGAUGGUUACUAGCUGUUUGGACUUCGGUCUGAGUGGCUAAGCGAAAGUGAUAAGUAACCCACCUGGGGAGUACGUUGCAAGAAUGAAACUCAAAGGAAUUGACGGGGGCCCGCACAAGCGGUGGAGCAUGUGGUUUAAUUCGAUGAUACGCGAGGAACCUUACCAGGGCUUAAAUGUAAGUUGCAUUAGUUAGAGAUAGCUAUUUCUUCGGACCACUUACAAGGUGCUGCAUGGUUGUCGUCAGCUCGUGCCGUGAGGUGUCAGGUUAAGUCCUAUAACGAGCGCAACCCCUGUUGUUAGUUGCCAGCGAGUCAUGUCGGGAACUCUAACAAGACUGCCAGUGCAAACUGUGAGGAAGGUGGGGAUGACGUCAAAUCAUCACGGCCCUUACGUCCUGGGCUACACACGUGCUACAAUGGUAGGUACAGAGAGCAGCCACUGCGCGAGCAGGAGCGAAUCUAUAAAACCUAUCACAGUUCGGAUCGGAGUCUGCAACUCGACUCCGUGAAGCUGGAAUCGCUAGUAAUCGGAUAUCAGCCAUGAUCCGGUGAAUACGUUCCCGGGCCUUGUACACACCGCCCGUCAAGCCAUGGAAGUUGGAAGUGCCUGAAGUCCGUCACCGUAAGGAGCGGCCUAGGGUAAAGUCGAUAACUAGGGCUAAGUCGUAACAAGGU